ACCCCCACCCCACUCUGCCUGAGACGCUUCUCUGAAGGCUAGCUGCGGUGGAGGAGAAGUGGUGCCUUCCGGAUACAGCCACUUCACACUGGUAAAUUAAUUAAAGAUCAAAAGGCAAGAGAAGCAUCUUUGCUAAGGUCCUUUGGAUGACUCCAAUUCCUGCACACAGGUGUCCAGCUCUACGCCUGGAGGGGUCCAAGACAGAGCUUGACUGCCUAAUCUAUAAAUCAAGAGUAGGUGUGCAGAGCUCCCCAGGAUCAUGUUCUGAGUCCGAUCUGAUAGGUCAAAUGCAGCCUCUGCACAACCACGGAGGGAAUUGCUAACAGAAAUGGAACCUGUUUCAGUUGUGGAGGGGCCUGGCGAGGAGUCCGGCUCAUCCAUCUGGUCCUCAGUGCCGUGUGAUCUUUUUUUCCCCUGGGUGGCUCGGCAUCCCCUAUGCAAUGAAGGGUGACUCCACAACUGCAAGGGCAGCACGAGCUUCACUGACCACAAUGGUAGAUGUAGCUGGGACUUUUUUAUUUAUUUAUUUGUGGGGAAGGUGACUGCAACCCUCUCUUGUUGAAAUCUUAAAGUGAGGGGUUUAUUUGUCUUUUACCACAGUGUAGAUGUACCCAUGGCACCGUGCCCUGCUAGCUGGAUAUCUUGGUAGAUACCCAGCCAAACAAUGGACAUUCAAAGGUUGACUUUAUAUUUCAGGGGUGGGGGCAGGAACAGUGUUCUGAUGACUCCAGCAUAGCUUUUUAUGAUUUAUAUUGACAACAGCAACCCUCAAUAGGAGCACAGCCCCAGACAGCUCAGUAAAGUGUCAUUUACUUUCUGCAAAAUACACCAAUACUUGUUUUCACCAGCCUGCUAGCCAGCAGGCUCAAGUAUCUCAUAAUGCAUGCAUGUGAUGUCACCUCGUUCCAGUGAAAUGACGAGGCUCCGAGCAGCAAGAGACUGAAAAACAGCAAGUAUGUUUAAUAGGCAACCAAGGACCCGGCUGAGUUGGGUAUCUUUGUCAACAGACUUCUCCCCACGGCAACAAAGACUUGGCUGCCAAAAAAAGUCACAACAAAUGAAGCGAGGGUGAUAUUUAUAGAGCUGCAGGAGAGCAGGACUAUGGGACCCAGGGAAAAGAACUGGGGUUUACAUGUGCUUUUUAAAAUCAGAUAGGGGGAAACUUAAACAUCCUGCAAAAUGCCAUCUCUUAUUACAUCCAGGCGUUGGCUCCUAUUUAAAAUCAAGCAUGUUUUGAGUUGUGGGCCUAUAAUUCGAUCUUUGGGUGAGUUAAAGAGGACUUCUAACACCCUUGAACUUUGGUUCUUGUCCCAUUGACUUCAGGAACUUGUCUUUUGUCAUUCUGCCCUACAUAAGAAUACUAGGACAGAGCCUGGCGUGGAAGCUGGUGAGCCAGUUCCCCGUGGGAAAGUCCCCUCUGCUGUUUUGGGUGAUACGCACAAAAGCACCAGAUUCCAAACUGAAGUCGUGACUAUUCCCCUUCAUAUGGUACUGCUGAAACAUGGGUAAACUUUCCUUAACGUGUCUCCACUGCAUGCCCCUGCAAUGCCUAGC